rnacentral:sRNA from 1 species
AAUCUUAAAUGCCCAAGUAGUGUUUCCUUGUUAGAAGAUACAAAGUCAAAGACUCAUACGGACUUUGGCUACACCAUCAAAGCUUUGAGAAGCAAGAAGAAGUUUGGUUAAUGUUUUGGAGUCAACUAUGACUUCAGGUCAUUUGUAUGAUUAAGUAUAAGAACUAGAACUACAAACGAAUCUUAAAAGGCUAAGUAGUGUUUCCUUGUUAGAGGAUACAAAGCAAAAGAUUCAUAUAAAAUUCGGCUACACCAUCAACGCUUUGACAAGCAAGAAGAAGCUUGGUUAGUGUUUUGGAGUCAAAUAUGAGUAGAUGUCAUUUGUAUGAUUGAGUAUAAGAACUAGAACUGCAACCGGGUCUUAAAAGCCUAAGUAGUGUGAUAUGUCUAUAAUUUGCAUGAUUUCAGUGUCCAUUCAUCAUCGUUUUGAGUCCAGUUUCGUAUCAUUCAUCACAGUUUAUAUCAUUUCUCAUCAUUCUUGCAUACUUUGCAUGAUUAGGAUAACUUUGCAUACAUAUUGCAUUUCUGAGUUGUUUUCAGGUGAUUUGGAGCUGUUUGCAAGCAAAUUGGAAGAAACGAGCCAGAACCAGAAGACAUACUCGACCCCCAGGUCGAGUGACUUUAGAGCCAUUCUUCCCACAUACUCGACCCCCAGGUCGAGUGACUUUGGAGCCAUUCUUCCCAUCCACUCGACCACCAGGUUGAGUAACCUCAGCUCAGGCCACUCGAUGACACUACUCGACCCCCUGGUCGAGUAUCACUUCGCCACACUACCUGACAACACUCGACCGUUCACUCUACCAAGUUACUCGACCCCCUGGUCGAGUAUCAUCACUCACCACCAUCAGCAUCACUCGACCGGACACUCGAUCACGUCUUCACAGUCUACUCAAAUCCGCACUCAACCAGACAAGCUGAGCACAAGGAAGAGAAGAGGAGAAGACAAAGUGUUUGGAAGCGGCCUGGACCUCCAUCGGAUCAAGAAGCCCAUCUCGGCCCAUUAUCUCUCUAUGGGCCGAGCGAUUAGGUUAUUGGCCCGUCUAUUAUCAUUUUAUUUCGUUUUGUAUAAAUAGAUGUCUUAGGGUUCUGUCCUGAGACAUCUAGUCGACAUUGAGUUUUUGCUUCAGUUUUAUUUUCUGUUUUACUCUACUGCGCCGGUUUUGCUUCGGCAACCUGUAAUUCGAGAUUUUUCAAAGUUAUUCAGAUUCCGCAUUUGAUUUCAUCUGUCAUCUUGUUUCUCUACUCUUUAUCUCUUUACUUAUGCAAUAUUAUCGUUUAUUUGCAUUUAUGUCUUUUAGCAUGUUGUCUGAGUAGUGACUUAGAAUUCUUAGGGAUAGGAUAGAGUAGUUGUGGAAUCCGUAGUCUGUAGAAUGGUUAAGUUUUAGAAUUGAUUGAAUCCCUUUAGGACUAGUUGCGUUUACUGCUUAUUUCUUUCUGAUCAAUUGGAAUUCGAUCCCAAGCAUUCCCGCACCCAGAAGGUGUUUGAUGGAAUGCUUGAUCCACUAGUUCCUGAGAUAUGCGUCUCUAUCCCAAGGGAUUGGCCGUUUAGAGCGUUUAUUGACUUUAUCAGUCUGUUCUUAUUGCCUGCAUAGUUAGAUUCCGUUAAUGGGAAUUAGUCUGGGCUAGCUUUGCUUGAGGAUUUCUAUCACGGGAGUGAAUUGAUCUGUUGUUGAACCUGUUGUCUAGGGAUAGCUUGAUUGCGCUUGUUAACCAUUCGAAUAGGCUAGGAUACCACUCUACUCGAUUACCCUAUCCUUAGGCAUUUCUCGUCUAUCUUAUUUCUCUGUUUUAUCGUUAUCGCUUAAUCGUUCUCAUUGCCUGUUUCUUAGUUUUUACAAUCACUCGACCAUCUUACUCGACCACACCCAGUGUCUGGCAACAGACUGUGCAGUCGAGUAAGAUUAUCUUGUUUCCUGUCUAUUACUCGACCAGUAUACUCGACCACACCCAGUGUCUGGCAACACACUGUAUAGUCGAGUAUAGCUGUUUCAUAUCCUGUCUGUUACUCGACCUGUUACUCGAGAGAUUUUAGUAAUUCUGUUAUUGCUUCUAAUUUCUGCAUGUUCGCUUAGGACUGUUAGAAACCCCAAAACUGUUAUUACUUGGCUUGACUUAGUGACUUCUGAUCACAUUUCAUCUAUUUGCAUCACACCCAUUUGGAUUGACACCUAAAAUACUACAACGACAUGAUUGGUGUUUUAUGAUAAUUGACCAUAAUAACCUAUUAUCAAUUUGGCGCCGUUGCCAAUUGGGUGUUUGUUUGCUAUAUUUGAGAUUUCAGAAUAUUUAAGAUCAAGUUCUUUUU